rnacentral:tRNA from 1 species
GAAAUAUUAAUAAAAAGAACUUCUAAUUCUUAAUUAAAUGUAAUACAUUUAUAUUUCU